GCACCACAACAGGUGGAGCCUGCGGUUUAAUCGGACUCAACGCCGGGAAAACUCACCAGAUAAGACAGCUGAAUGAUAGUCGGGCUGAAGACUCUACUUGACUAGCUGAGAGGAGGUGCAUGGCCGUCGUCAGUUCGUACUGUGAAGCAUCCUGUUAAGUCAGGCAACGAGCGAGACCCACGCCAACAGUUGCCAGCUCGUCCUCCGGGAUGGUGGGGACACUGUUGGGACCGCCUCUGCUAAAGAGGAGGAAGGAAUGGGCAACGGUAGGUCAGCAUGCCCCGAAUUAUCUGGGCUACACGCGGGCUACAAUGGGUGGGACAAUGGGUAUCGACACCGAAAGGUGAAGGCAAUCUCCUAAACCCAUCCGUAGUUCGGAUUGUGGGCUGCAACUCGCCCACAUGAAGCUGGAAUCUGUAGUAAUCGUGUCUCAAAAUGGCACGGUGAAUAUGUCCCUGCUCCUU
rnacentral:rRNA from 1 species